AUGUAACAUAAAAAAUAAAUAUAUCAUAUAUCAAACUCUACUUCUCUCUCUUUAAGCCCUUUCUCUCAUUCUCAUUGCCUCUUCUCUCUAAACCCUAGAUUAAACACCAAAUUGAUACACCUCGCGGUGUCCGUCUCUCACUCUCACGGUGAAUAUCUCUGAUGUUUUUAUCGCUCCUUUUGGAUUAGGAAUAGGCGGUUUUUUAAAUGUUAUGGUCUGCUGUAUUAUUGACUUGUUUUGGUCUGCAAACUACAACUGAAACUGUAAUGAUUCUAGGAUACAAUACUUGGAAUUUACGAUUCUGUGAUGAUGUUGUCGCUAAGUUAUGUUUGUCCUGUGAUUGAGAAACAAGACAAAGGCCAAGCGAAUUUCUCUCUCGAAUCUCACUGCUCAGGUUUUUAUGCACCUUGCUCUCAUCCUUGGCUCUUCUUUCUGAAAAUUUGCCUAUUGAGUCUGCUAAGGAACAAUCAUCUCUUCUAGCUAGAAUUGGUGUCCUGUUCCCGACAUUCUUCUCAACACAAGUUUCUUUGCACUUGAACAAAGCCUAGUUAAGGCAUAAGCUAAGAAGGUGGCUAGUAAAGCAAAUCAAUGGCAUCAAAAGGUAAUGUUAAUGUACGAUGUAAUAAAAGUAAGAAAGGAACUGAUAAUAUUCCUACAGGUCAAUGUACACUACCACCACCACCACCAUCUGUUACCACAAUUCUUCAACCAUCUACUACAAAUAUUCCUCCCCCUCCUAGAUGUAGUAUUUCAGUACCAAAUGCAUUUUUCAUGCCUCCACCGUCUGACCAGUUGCACACCUCUUCAUCCCAAAAUAGUUUUCAUAGUAGCUCUUCAUCUGUGCAAUAUUGAGAGGCUACGAAUCGUCCCUUAUCGUAAUGGGUAAGUAACACUUAUGUUUUCCUUAAUUUUUAAUAGCUAAGAUGCUGGUUUAAUAUAAUCUUAUUGCAGGUUCAUUCCAGCAUAUACCGUCGGGCAUAUGGUUAUUGAAGCAAUUAAACCAUUUUACACAAAGCCGUGGAAUAGUUGGUUGGAGAUUCCAUGGGAAAUUAGAAUUGUCAUGCGGAAACAAUUUAGUGUAUAAGCAGUUUUAUAAGCUAUGAAUAUCAUUGACUAAAGAUAGUUUUUUCAUUGCAUCCAUUAACUCAUUUUAUGACUUUAUAUUAAACUAUUUUGCAGACAAAGUGUACAUGGAGUGAUUGUCAUGAUAAUGAAGUAGACCGCAUUUUUCGGUUGAAAGCAGCUCUACAGAUAAAAGAACACUUGUAUGAGGCCCAGAGGAAAUUGAUAAAACCUGGGUGGUUGAAUGAUGAAGUAUGGACCCAGUUCUUGAUAUUAUGGGACACUCCUGAAUUUAAGGCAAAGAGGAACGAGGAAAGCCAAAUCGAGCCUCUGAAACAGGUGGCUCGCUACACACCGGAGGUUCUAUGAGUUUCGCUACCAACAAAAGAAGACUGAACUUCUUAAAUGGGGGAGUAGUUGUACCUAUUCCUAAGACCUUCAAAGAGACAUAAGAAGAAAAAUCUGGACGGUCCAAGAGAAGAAUGGGUCGAACUGCGUGCUAAGGAUGCAUAUGAUUUCAAAAAAGCAUUGAAGAUUGGCGUCAAACCCAACCUGCUUCAGAGGAUGGUACCAUGGUCCAACCAUCGCCUGGUGAUAUGAAUAGAACGUGGACAAAUGUGGUAGAUGGUCCAAAAAAGGGUAACACCUACGGGCUUGGAGGUAAACAAUCCUCGAGUAGUUCUUCCCCAAUGCUGCCCAACUCUGCUUCUAUUUCGCAAAAUACGGAAGAAAUGGAAACGAUGAGAACAAAAAUUGAAGAGUUGACGCAACACUGUGUCAAAUUGCCAAGUUUGAAGCGUUAGUCAAGAAGAAUAUGCCGCAAGUAUUUGAGGAUGGGGAAGACAGUGCAGAUGAUUAGAUUGUAGCAGUUGGUUUUUGUUUAUGAUUGUGACAUUUAAACUUAGAAUAUUAGAAUUGGUGUUUGUUGUGGAUUGUGACGUUUCAAUUGACUUGUCUUGAAAUGCUUAAACUAUUUGAUUCCA